rnacentral:rRNA from 1 species
CAAGUCGAGCGCUGACUUAAGGGUAGCAAUAUUCUUAAGUCGGAGCGGCGCAAGGGUGCGUAACACGUGGGUAAUUUGCCGUGAAGUUGGGGAUAACUUGCUGAAAGGCGAGCUAAUACCGAAUGUGACGUUUGGAAGGCAUCUUCUGAAUUUCAAAGUUGGGGACCGUAAGGCCUGACGCUUCACGAUAAGCCCGCGGCCUAUCAGCUAGUUGGUGAGGUAACGGCUCACCAAGGCUAAGACGGGUAGCUGGUCUGAGAGGACGACCAGCCACACUGGAACUGAGACACGGUCCAGACACCUACGGGUGGCAGCAGUCGAGAAUUUUUCUCAAUGGGCGAAAGCCUGAAGGAGCGACGCCGCGUGGGGGAUGAAUGGCUUCGGCCCGUAAACCCCUGUCAUUUGCGAACAAACCUUACGGUUUAAUAGAUCGUGAGCUGAUUGUAGCGAAAGAGGAAGGGACGGCUAACUCUGUGCCAGCAGCCGCGGUAAUACAGAGGUCCCAAGCGUUGUUCGGAUUCACUGGGCGUAAAGGGUGCGUAGGUGGUCGGGUAAGUCUGAUGUGAAAUCUCCGAGCUCAACUCGGAAAUGGCAUUGGAUACUAUUCGGCUAGAGGGUUUGAGGGGGGGACUGGAAUACUUGGUGUAGCAGUGAAAUGCGUAGAUAUCAAGUGGAACACCAGUGGCGAAAGCGAGUCCCUGGAUACUCCUGACACUGAGCACGAAAGCUAGGGAGCAAACAGAUAGAUACCCUGGUAGUCCUAGCUGUAAACGGUGCAUAUUUGCUGUA